rnacentral:rRNA from 1 species
GAGUUUGAUCCUGGCUCAGGACGAACGCUGGCGGCACGCCUAACACAUGCAAGUCGAACGGAGAUAUUUUGGUUUACUGAGAUAUCCUAGUGGCGGACGGGUGAGUAACACGUGAGCAACCUGCCUYUGAGAGAGGGAUAGCUUCUGGAAACGGAUGGUAAUACCUCAUAACAUAACGAAGCCGCAUGACUUUGUUAUCAAAGAUUUAUCACUCAGAGAUGGGCUCGCGUCUGAUUAGAUAGUUGGUGAGGUAACGGCCCACCAAGUCGACGAUCAGUAGCCGGACUGAGAGGUUGAACGGCCACAUUGGGACUGAGACACGGCCCAGACUCCUACGGGAGGCAGCAGUGGGGAAUAUUGCACAAUGGGGGAAACCCUGAUGCAGCGAUGCCGCGUGGAGGAAGAAGGUUUUCGGAUUGUAAACUCCUGUCUAAAGGACGAUAAUGACGUACUAGAGA